GACGAACGCUGGCGGCGUGCCUAAUACAUGCAAGUCGAACGAACUCUGGUUUUUGAUUGACGGUGCUUGCACCUGAUUGAUUAAACAUUUGAGUGAGUGGCGAACCGGUGAGUAACACGUAGGAAACCUGCCCAGAAGCGGGGGAUAACACCUGGAAACAGAUGCUAAUACCGCAUAACAACUUGAACCGCAUGGUUCGAGUUUGAAAGAUGGCUCUGCUAUCAAUUCUGGAUGGUCCUGCGGCGUAUUAGCUAGAUGGUGAGGUAACGGCUCACCAUGGCAAUGAUACGUAGCCGACCUGAGAGGGUAAUCGGCCACAUUGGGACUGAGACACGGCCCAAACUCCUACGGGAGGCAGCAGUAGGGAAUCUUCCACAAUGGACGAAAGUCUGAUGGAGCAACGCCGCGUGAGUGAAGAAGGGUUUCGGCUCGUAAAACUCUGUUGUUAGAGAAGAACAUAUCUGAGAGUAACUGUUCAGGUAUUGACGGUAUCUAACCAGAAAGCCACGGCUAACUACGUGCCAGCCGCCGCCGUAA
rnacentral:rRNA from 1 species